rfam:Leptotrichia sp. oral taxon 215 str. W9775 genomic scaffold Scaffold10, whole genome shotgun sequence.
UACAUUUCAAAAUGAUAACCAAAGACAGUAGGUGGAAAUUCCAUAAACCCUACCGAGGUAAUAGUAAAUGAAUAAUCUAUAUAAUAUAAAGAAUUCGUUAAUACAUACCUCUGGGCUUAUUGUUUUUGUUUCAGAGGUUUUUAAUAUGAGGA